CGUACUCUCAAGCGCACGGCGAAAGGAGGGGCAGCUUCCGGGACCUGGCGGGGUCUUUGUGUUAGGCAGCGCGGAUGCGGACAGCUCGGUGCCUCCGCGCUGUUCCCUCCCCUUCGCCCUGGGAGGAGGGCCCCGUGGUUCCGCGCAGCUUUUGUUGCUCUGGGACGUGCAGGUCCUGGAAGGUCCUUAGGGAGGACCCCAGACACCCGGAGACUGGGAAAUGAUACAUGGAUGAAUCUGGAAACCAUCAUUCUCAGCAAACUGACAAGAACAGAAAACCAAACACCACAUGGACACAGGGAGGGGAACAUCACACACGGGCUUCUCAGGGGCUGGGGGGUACGGGAGGGAUAGCAUUAGGAGGAAUACCUAAUGUAGAUGAUGGGUGAUGGAUGCAGCAAACCACCAUGGCACCUGUGUAACAAACCUGCACGUUCUGCACAUGUAACUCAGAACUUAAAGUAUAAAACAAAAUCCAAGCUAUUCAGGCAACAACUAGCAAGAUUAAUAGAAGAAUACCUUGCAUCUCAAUACUGACGUUGAGCGUAAAUGGCCUCAAUACUUCACUUAAAAGAUAUAGAAUGGCAGAAUGGCUGAGAAUUAACCAACCAAGUAUCUUCAAGAGACUCACCUAACACAUAAGGACUCACAUAGACUUAAGUCAUUCUUCCUACCACCAUGUGAAGAAGGUACCUUGCAUCCCUUUUGCCUUCCGCCAUGAUUGUGUUUCCUGAGGCCUUCCCAGCCAUGUGGAACUGCAGAGGUUGAAACAAUUUGGAAGGCUCCGAAGAACAGAGGAAGAUGUGGUAUUCAGUGUCAUUUGAAGAUGUGGCUGUGACCUUUACCCAGGAGGAGUGGGCUUUGCUGGAUCUUUCUCAAAAGAGUCUCUACAGAGAUGUGAUGCAAGAAAUCUUCAGAAACCUCGCUUCUGUAGGAAACAAGUCAGAAAACCAGAAUAUGCAAGAUGACUUCAAAAGUCCUGGGAGAAAUCUAAGCAGUCAUAUGGUGGAGAGAUUGUUUGAAAUUAAAGAAGGCAGUCAGUAUGGAGAAGCUUUCAACCAGGAUUCAAAUUUUAAUCUGAAUAAGAAAAUUUCUACUGGAGUAAAGCCAUGUGAAUGCAAUGUGUGUGGAAAAGUCUUCAUAUGCCAUUCAGCCCUUCAUAGGCACAGCAUAUCUCAUACUGGAAACAAACUAUCUGAGUGUGUGGAAUGUCCAGAGAAGUUAUAUAAAUGCAAACAAUGCGGGAAAGCCUUUCUCUCUCUUAAAAGUGUUGACAGACACAUGGUAACACACACUAGUAAUGGACCUUAUAAGAGUACAGUAUAUGAGAAGCCUUUUGAUUUUUCCAGUGUAUUUCAAAUGCCUCAGAGCACUUAUACUGGAGAGAAAACAUAUAAAUGUAAACAUUGUGAUAAAGCCUUCAAUUAUUCAAGUUAUCUUCGUGAACAUGAAAGGACUCAUACUGGAGAAAAACCCUAUGCAUGUAGGAAAUGUGGUAAAUCAUUCACUUUUUCCAGUUCUCUUCGACAACAUGAAAGAUCUCAUACUGGAGAGAAACCCUAUGAAUGUAAGGAAUGUGGCAAAGCCUUCAGUCGUUCCACUUAUUUGGGAAUACAUGAAAGAACUCAUACUGGAGAAAAACCCUAUGAAUGUAUAAAAUGUGGCAAAGCCUUUAGAUGUUCCAGAAUCCUUAGAGUACAUGAAAGGACUCACAGUGGAGAAAAGCCCUAUGAAUGUAAACAAUGUGGUAAAGCCUUCAAAUAUUCUAGUAACCUUUGUGAGCAUGAAAGAACUCAUACUGGAGUGAAACCUUAUGGAUGUAAGGAAUGUGAUAAGUCAUUUACUUCUUCCAGUGCCCUUCGAAACCAUGAAAGGACUCAUACUGGAGUAAAACCCUAUAAAUGUAAGAAAUGUGGUAAAGCUUUCAGUUGUUCCAGUUCCCUUCGAAAGCAUGAAAGAUCUUAUAUGCAGUAAACAACACACCUCUAUGUAAGAAGUGUGUUAAAGCUUUCAGAUACUCUAAUUUAAUUUGAACAUGUGAAAAAAUUUAAAACUCACACUAGAGAGAAGCUCAACACAUGUAAGGACUAUUAGAAUGUAUGCAGUUUUCCUAGUUUCCUUCUAAAACAUACAUAGAAGAACCCAUACUGGGAAAGAACCUCAUAAAAUACCAGAAAUGUUUUAAAGCAUUUAAUUUUCCCAGUCGCUUUCAAAUAUAUAAACUAAUUCACAAUGGAUAAAAACAUUGUAAUUUUCAGAAAUGUAAAGCCCUCAGGUUUUCCAUUCUUUAAAACAAGUUAGAAAGUUUUUUCAUUAUUUGACAUCAUGGAAGGACUCAGUGGAGAAAAGCCUUAUGAAUGUAAGUACAUGACAAUUCCAUUUGAAGACAUGGAAGAACUAAUUUCUGAGAACCAUAUGAAUAUAGUGUUGGAAUGCUCUUAUUUCUCAAAUAUCUAUUGGAAGAUAUAUGAUAACAUGCACUGGAGAUGGACCUGGCUAGAGUACAGUGGCAUGAUCUCAGCUCACUGCAACCUCUGCCUCCUGGGUUCAGGCGAUUCUCCUGCCUCAGCCUCCUGAGUGGCUUGGACUACAGGCUAUACCUUCCAGACACUGAAAAACUUAUUAACAGAGUUCAGGAAGAUGGAAGAGCAAGGAGAGGUCACAAGAGCUGGACCUGAGGGAAUGAAAGAAUAUUAUUAUUUUUGAUUAAACCCCAAGCUUAUUGUGUGGAAAAUACAGCCAGUUCCUAGAAGAAGUGUUAGAGAUGUCUAUGCAGGACAUCUAAGAGAAAGACAUACUUUUAAUUGGGUCAUACCACCCAGGAGUCCACAGAAGAUCAAAUCAGAAAUGCAUUGAAAUAGCUGUUGAAAAAUGUAAGUGGCUUUCUGUUGAGAUCAACUUGGGGUGGUUGGCAAAAUGUUAUGGGAAAUAUUAGGGAAAGUGGUAAGUGUAAGGCCAGUUGCCUCACCGGGAGCUCGGACACGCCCAUCCAUCCUCCUCGCCUGAAAAUUACGUCACCAGAAUACGCCCAUCAUCUAGCUCCGCCUUGGAAAUCCCCUCUGCACUCAGCACUAAGCUCUGCACCCGGCACCUAGACUGCCUUGGAAAUCCCCUCUGCACUCAACACUAAGCUCUGCUAGCCCGCUCACUGGAAAUCCAGCCUACCUACCAAUAGCAGCUUGCCCCGUCCAUGUCCUGUUUCUCCACAGCCUAUCAAACGCUUUCACUCCCUAUAAAACCCUACACCUGAGAAGAGUCGGGCAUGGCUUCUCUGACCUCUUUCCCCGGGACCAUAGAACCUCCCCUGGGAGCCGAAUAAACUAGCAUCUAAUUGUUCUCAUGAAGGCCUCAGUUUCCUCAUUUUAAACUCGGCAAUAAACCUCACAAGACAAUAACCCUUACAAGUGGUUCCAAAACCCGGGAGGAGUUUUAAGACCCCUCCUGGGGGAAACUGACUCCUCCACCCGAAGCCGGACCAGGGAACCAUUCCAUCACAAGGUAAGACUUCUGUUACCCACAGCCUCUCCUGCUGCCUGCGUAGUGGACUCCCACCUUGUAACUGCAGCUGCGUCAGGGACUCCUUCUCAUUUCCCACCAUGGGCCGAGGGCCCCAGCCUCAUCUCGAGGACCUGAGCAUAGAGGAGACGUCCCUACACUGUUGUCUUCUCCCUGUGAGGGGUUUCCAGGGGCAGGAAUUUGAGGGAGAUGUCCCCAUCUUACUGAAUUCUCUCCGGUGUUCGGAAAUGCCAUUUAGGAUGCCUUCCAAACAUCUCCGCAGCAGUGGCCAAGGUUUAGGUAUUCAGAAGCCCUGUUUGCAGACCCGGGCCCUGCCUAACAGCAGGACUGAAUUCCCCGGCUUUACAGUACUAAAACGUUUAUCUCAAAUCAGCCUUUUGGCAUAUAAGCUCCCGUUACAUAUGAUUAUGUAACUGUACUUUUGGUUUCUCUUCCUAAUCCUGAGCGAGUGAGUGAGCAAGUUUAUGUGUAGUCCCACUGCCUAAUGGCUACAGGGCUUGUGUGGGCCUCAACCCGCAGUACCACGGGGACAUCAUAAGGCAUAACAGUGAUUUACCUCAGGACUGAAAGUUCUGGGGUGACCAGGCCUGGGGGUUAUACGGGUACACCUUAGCCAAGAUGCCCUGAAACAUCCCUUUGGGGACAUGGCUGGGAAGGCAUCAGACUGGUCUCCCAUCUGGGAGGCACCCACCCUUUGUCCGUCAAUCCUGUAUGUGGUUUUGUCUCAGGUAGCCCUAGCCCUGUCUCUCUUUAUUUUCUUUCUCAUUAUAAUCAUUGCAGCCUCUAAGUUCUCUCACCCCCACCCCCAGGAAAGGAGUACUUCUGCCCGUGUUGGGUAUAAUACCUUUCCAUAUUCCUUUCUUACCCCUAACUACCCCCACAAGAAGGUGAACCAUGGGCAAUUAGAUGUCCCAACCAAACCCCAAAUUGCCAUUAGGAUGCCUAGUCCAAAAUCUACCCAAACUGGGUAUUUCCAUUAAAAAGAAAAGGCCGCUUUUCCUCUCUACCAUGGCCUGGCCACAGUAUCCCCUAGACAACCAGUCUAAGUGGCCUCCAGAGGGCACACUCGACUUUAAUGUCCUGACAGACUUAGACAACUUUUGCCAAAAGAAUGGCAAAUGGUCAGAGGUCCCCUACUUGCAGGCCUUUUGGUACCUUUGCUCCUGACCCUCCCUCUGCUCCUCUUGUUCCUCUGCCCAGGUUCUGUUAGCCAAAACCCUGCCUUUGCUCUCAGCCCUGCCUGGCUCCACACUCUCUGAAGACCUGUCUUGCCCUGCCCGCUUUACCCACACCCCUCCUUAUGCAAUACUUCAACUCCCUCCUCCCUCUUCUCCUCCUCCUCCCCAAAGCCCUAAUAUAACUUCCCGUCAGUGCUUGCACCCACUCUCACGACCCCCCACUCCUCUGCCCUUUGCAUGAGAUAGCCGGAGCAGAAGGCAUUGUCUGGGUGCACGUUCCCUUCUUUCUUUCGGAUCUGUCAGCCAUUGAAAAUGCUUAGGGUCAUCCUCUACCAAUCCUACUGCUUAUACCAAAGAAUUUCAUUGCCUCACCCAGGAGGACAACCUCACCUGGUAUGACACCUAUGUGAUCCUGUCCUCCACUCUUACUCCCAAUGAGCAUGACCGCAUUCUUACAGCGGCCCAAGCUCACGCUGAUCAGGUACAUCUCACAAAGAAUCAAAUGCCAGUAGGCACAGUGGCAGUUCCCGAGGCCGACCCUAAUUGGACUAUCAAACCGGUCAAGAUGGCCGCCACUGCCAAGACCAAAUGCUACAGUGCCUCCCAGUGGGCAUGCAAAGCGCAGCUCAAAAGGCAGUUAAUUAUGACAAGUUAAAUGAAAUAACUCAGGGUCCUGAUGAAAACCCAGCUGCCUUCCUAGACCGAUUAGCUAAUGCUAUGAUCCUACCCGACUAGAUCCAGCCUCCAUAGCAGGGGCUACAGUCCUAGCCACCCACUUCAUCUCCCAGUUGGCAGCUAACAUAAGGAGGAAACUUAAAAAAGCUGAGGAGGGCCCCCAAACUCCCAUACGGGACCUGGUGGACGUGGCAUUUAAAGUUUUCAAUGGCUGAGAGGAAAAGUCUGAGGCCACCCACCAAACCCCAGCUCCUGUAGCAGCCCCGAGGCCAGCAUCCCACCAAACAUCCGACGGAGGGGGUCCGUCGAAACCCUCCCAAAAUUCUUCAAAGGCCCCACCUGGGCCCUGUUUCAAAUGCAGCCAGGAGGGACACUGGGCACAGCAGUGCCCCAUCCUCCUCCACUUCCUGGACCCUGUUCAAGCUGUAAACAGACUGGACACUGGAAGGUUGACUCUGUGUCCCAGGCUGCAGGCUAACUCCCCACACCUCUAUGUGGAGGGCAGGCUGGUCCACAGGAUCUAGUCCCUUCACUUGAACUUCUCAGCCUUCUGGAUGACUGACGCAGCCUGGACUCGAGGACCCCCAUCACCCUUGCCGAGCCCAGGGUAAUGCUGCAGGUAGCAGGUUUUACAGGCCCACACGAGAGAAAUUUCCAGGGUGGCCAUAAACCAGAUGAUACUUCACCCCUAUGUCUGACUCCCAAUCAAGGCACCAGCCAACUGACCCCUCCCCCUCACUCCACCCCUAUUCAGCAGGAAGUAGCCAGAAAGAAGCGGCAUCCUAUAUAUCAUCAAAAGGGUCAGAAUGUAAGGCCGGGUUGCCUCGCCAGGAGCUCGGACACGCCCAUCCCUCUUCCCACCGGAAAAUUAAGUCACCAGAAUAUACCCAUCAUCUAGCUCUGCCCUGGAAAUCCCCUCUGCACUCAACACUAAGCUCUGCACCCAGCACCUAGACCACCUUGGAAAUCCCCUCUGCACUCAACACUAAGCUCUGCACUCGGCACCUAGCCUGCUCACCAGAAAUCCCGCCUACCUACCAAUAGCAGCUUGCGCCAUCCACGUCCUGUUUCUUCACAGCCAAUCAAACACCUUCACUCCUUAUAAAACCCCACGCCUGAGAGGAGUUGGGCAUGACUUCUCUGGCCUCUUUCCCUGGGACCACAGAACCUGACCCAGUAGCUGAAUAAAUUGGCAUCUAAUUGUUC